rnacentral:rRNA from 1 species
UACAGAGGUCUCAAGCGUUGUUCGGAUUCAUUGGGCGUAAAGGGUGCGUAGGCGGCGCGGUAAGUCGGGUGUGAAAUCUUGGAGCUUAACUCCGAAACUGCAAUUCGAUACUGCCGUGCUUGAGGACUGGAGAGGAGACUGGAAUUUACGGUGUAGCGUGAAAUGCGUAGAUAUCGUAAGGAAGACCAGUGGCGAAGGCG